rnacentral:rRNA from 1 species
GCGUUGUCCGGAAUUAUUGGGCGUAAAGAGCUCGUAGGCGGCUUGUCACGUCGACUGUGAAAACCCGGGGCUCAACUCCGGGCCUGCAGUCGAUACGGGCUGGCUUGAGUGCGGUAGGGGAGACUGGAAUUCCUGGUGUAGCGGUGAAGUGCGCAGAUAUCAGGAGGAACACCGGUGGCGAAGGCGGGUCUCUGGGCCGUAACUGACGCUGAGGAGCGAAAGCGUG